AGAGUUUGAUUCGUGUCUUCAGAUUGAAACGCUGGCGGCAGCCNUUAACACAUGCAAGUCGAGCGGUAACAGAACUAGCUUGCUAGUUGCUGACGAGCGGCGGACGGGUGCGUAACACGUAGGAAUCUGCCCAGUAGUGGGGGAUAGCCCGGAGAAAUUCGGAUUAAUACCGCAUACGCCCUAAGGGGGAAAGCAGGGGAUCUUCGGACCUUGCGCUACUGGAUGAGCCUGCGUCGGAUUAGCUUGUUGGUGGGGUAAAGGCCUACCAAGGCAACGAUCCGUAGCUGAUCUGAGAGGAUGAUCAGCCACACUGGGACUGAGACACGGCCCAGACUCCUACGGGAGGCAGCAGUGGGGAAUAUUGCACAAUGGGCGAAAGCCUGAUGCAGCCAUGCCGCGUGUGUGAAGAAGGCUCUAGGGUUGUAAAGCACUUUCAGCGAGGAGGAAAGGUUGACGAUUAAUACUCGUUAGCUGUGACGUUACUCGCAGAAGAAGCACCGGCUAACUCCGUGCCAGCAGCCGCGGUAAUA
rnacentral:rRNA from 1 species